rnacentral:lncRNA from 1 species
UAGUUGGGUUCAUUACCUCUGAGCCACAACGGUAACUACUUAAACCUUCUGCCCAUUUUUGAUUGGGUUGUUUGUUUUGCUAUUGAGCUACAGGUGGUAUUUGUAUAUUUUGGAGAUUAAAUCCUUGUUAGUUGCUUCAUUUGCUAAUAUAUUUUUCCACUCUGUUGGUUGUCUUUUCAUUUUGUUUAGGGUUUCAUUUUUUGUGCAUACACUUUUAAGUUUAAUUAUGUACCACUUUUAUUUUGUUUUUAUCAUCAUUACUCUAGGAAAUGGGUCUGAGAUAAUAUUGCUGUGGCUUACAUCAGAGUGUUUGACCUUUGUUUUCCUCUAAGAGUCUUACAGUAUCUGCUUUACUUUUAGGUCUUUAAUCCAUUUUGAGUGUAUUUGUGUGUAUGCUGUUAGAGAGUGUUCGAAUUUCAUUCUUUUGCAUGUAUCUGUCCAGUUUUUCCAGCACCACUUAUCAAGGGAGUGUCUUUUUUCCAUUGUAUAUACUUGCCUACUUUAUCAUAGAUUGACCAUAAGUGCUUGGUUGUUGGUUUUUUUUUUUCCCUUGGCUUUCUGUCCCAUUCCAUUUGUCUAUAUUUCUGGUUUUGUGCCAGUAACAUACUGUUUUUAUUAUUGUAGUUUUAUUGUUUGGUAUGAAGUCAGGAAGCCUAAUUCUUUGAGCUGCAAUUUUCUUUCUCAGGAUUGCUUUGGCUAUUUGAGGUCUUUUGUUUUUCAAUACAAAUUAAAAUUUUUUUGAUCUAGUUCUAAGAAAAAUGCCAUUGGUAAUUUGAUAGGGAUUGAAUUGAAUCUGUAGAUUGCCUUGGGUAGUAUAGUCAUUUUGACAAUAUUGAUUCUUCCAAUCCAAGAGCAUGGUAUAUCUUUUCAUCUGGUUUAUCAUCUUUGAUUUCUUUCUUUGGUGUUUUAUCAUUUUCAGACUACAGGUCAUUUGUCUCUUUAGGUAGGUUUAUUCCUAGGUAUUUGGGAGGGGUUGUUGUUAAAGGGAUUAUUUCCCUAAUUUCUCUUUCUGAUCUUUCAUUGUUAAUUAUAUAAAUGCAAUACAUUUCUGUGUAUUAAUUUUGUAUCCUGCAAAUAUACCAGAUAGAGGAUGGGAUUAAGAUGAUGGAAUAGAAGGACUGGAGCUCAACUUCGCUCCUAAAAACAACAAAAUUACAACCAAAUGCUGAACAGCCUUCAAGCAAAUGGACUGAAAAAUUUCAAAAAGAUAUCCUACUCCAGAAGACAAAGAGGAGGCCACAUCAGGAGGUAAGAGGGGGUGAUUACAUGAUAUAAGUCUAUUGACUUCCUGCCCCAUACCUCCCAGGUGGGAAGCCAACAGACUGGAAAGCAACUGAAUUACAGAGACUCACCUACAGCAGUGAGAGUUCUGAACCCCACAUCAAGUUCCCACACCUGGAGAUCUGGCAUUGGGAGAAAGAGAACUGGCAUUGAAGGCCAGUGGGGCUUGUGCACAGGAGCUCCAUACUGGGGGAAACAGAAACCCCAUUCUUGAAAGGUGCACACAGGCUUUCAUGUGCACUGGGUCCCAGGGCAAAGCAGAGGCUCCAUAGGAAUCUGGGUUGGACCUGACUGCAGUUCUUGGAGGAUAUUCUGGGAAAACAGGGGGUGAAUGUGACUCAUUGUAGGGGAAGGACAUUGGAGGCAAAGCUCUCAGGAAUAUUCAUCAGUGUGUGUUUCCCUGGAGGUGGCCGUUUUUGGAAUAUCUGGCACCACUCAUCAGCCCUGAGAAGCCCCAGGCCAAACAAUAAUCCAGGUUGGAUCACAGCACCACCAAAAAGUAAACAGGCUGCCUAAAGACCUCCAAGGCACACAAGCUGCCUCUAAUCUCACCCAGAGACAAAGCCCCACCCAUCAGAGUGAUGGGAAUCAGCCCAAACUAUCAGUGGCUAGGCACCAGUCCCUCCCAUCAGGAGGCCUACAGCAAGCCCUUGUACCAAAUUCACCCACAAGGGGGGCAGAUAUCAGAAGUAAGAGAGGCUACAACUCUAUUGUCUGGAAAAAGGACACCACACAAAAACCUAUAAAAAUGAAAAGGAAGAGAACUAUAACUCAGAUAAGUGAGAAAGAAAACUCCCCAGAAAAACAGCUAAGUGAUCUGGAGAUUAUCAGCCUCCAGGAAAAAGACUUUAGACCAAUGAUUCUGAAGAUGAUGUAAGACAUUGGAAAUAUACCAGAGGCAAAGGUCGAUAAUUUACAGCAAACACUGAGCAAAGAAAUACAAGAUUUAAAACAAGAAAGCAGAGAUGCAAAAUACAAUAACUGAAAUAAAAAAUUCAUUAGAAGCUAACCAAUGGCAGAAUACAGGAGGCAGAAGAACAAAAAAGCAAGGUGGAGGACAGACUGGUAGAAAUCACUGAUGUGGAAGAGAAAAGAGAAAAAAGACUGAAAAGAAAUGAAGAGAGUUGCAGAGAGCUCUGAGACAACAUUAAAUGCAUCAACAUCUGUAUUAUGGGGGUGCCAGAAGGAGGAGAGAGAGAAAGGGACACAAAAAUAUUCAAAGAGAUAUUAGCCAAAAACCUCCCUAACACAGGAAGGGAACCACUCACUCAAAUCCAGGAAACAAAAUGAUUACCAUAUAAAAUAAGCCCAAGGAGGAUCACCCUGAGACACAUAUUAAUCAAACUGACCAGAAUUAAAGACAAAGAGGAAAUAUUGAAAUCAGCUAGGGGAAAGCAACGAAUAACAUACAAGGGAACUCCAAUAAGGUUACUGGCAGAUUUUUCAACAGAAACUUUGCAGGCCAGAAGGGAGUGGCAUGAAAUACUUAAUGUGAUGAAAGGAAAAAACAUCUAAGAUUAUUUUACACAGCAAUGUUCUCAUUCACAUUUAAAGGAGAAAUCAAAAACUUUACAGAUAGGCAAAAGCUAAGAGAAUUCAUCAACACUAAACCAGCUUUACAACAAAUUAAUGCUAAUACAACUUCUCUAGACAGAAAAGAAAAGGCCGCAACUAGAAACAAAAACACCAAAAAUGAUAAGGCUCAUCAGUAAAGACAUAUAUACAUUAAAGAUAGGAAAUCAUCCAUGCACAAUCAUGCCACCAAAAUCAGAAAUUGUGAGAAGCAGAAGGCACAAAUGCAGGACACUGGAGAUAUGUAUUUGCAAUUAAGAGACCAAUGACUUAAAACAAUCUCAUAUACAGACUCCUAUAUCAAAACUUCAGGGUAACUGCAAACGAAAAAUCUACAAUUGAUACACAAAAAAUAAGAAAAAUCAACUCAAUUACAACACUAAAGAUAGUCAUCAAACCACAAGAGGAGAGAAC